rnacentral:lncRNA from 1 species
AUUUUUAGAAGCUAUUGUAUUUGAAAAUUAUUUAAAAGUUAAACUCUUAGCUAAUGAUCAAAAUUGUUUACCUACUACUCUCUUAUUUUUUCAAUACUUCAACAUAAUACUUAUAUAGGUAUGUACCUAUCUUUAUUCAGUUGUGAUUAAUUUUUAAUUAAUAAUUACUCUAUGCAAUCACUUUAUAUGUUUAAUUUAGCAUAGAAAUCUAUAUUCCCAUCACUUUAUAUCUUUAAUUAUAAAUGGUAACACACAUCAUGCGUAUAGAUCUUAAUUAUUAUAUCAUAUACCAAUAGUGCAAGAUAUAGAUAAUUUAGAAUCAUAUAUUGUUGUACAUUACGUAGGGUUAUUACCUCAUGUUAUUUUUAAUAAUAGCAUGUGUGGGUAAUAUAGAUGCAAAUUUAAAGGGUUACUUUAAGUUUUUUAAGUAAUAGUGGUAGGCAAUUCAAUCGCAAAUUAGGGGUUUAUUUUAAAUAUUUUUU